GUGGGGAAUAUUGCACAAUGGGCGCAAGCCUGAUGCAGCCAUGCCGCGUGUAUGAAGAAGGCCUUCGGGUUGUAAAGUACUUUCAGCGAGGAGGAAGGCAUUAAGGUUAAUAACCUUGGUGAUUGACGUUACUCGCAGAAGAAGCACCGGCUAACUCCGUGCCAGCAGCCGCGGUAAUACGGAGGGUGCAAGCGUUAAUCGGAAUUACUGGGCGUAAAGCGCACGCAGGCGGUCUGUUAAGUCAGAUGUGAAAUCCCCGGGCUCAACCUGGGAACUGCAUUUGAAACUGGCAGGCUUGAGUCUUGUAGAGGGGGGUAGAAUUCCAGGUGUAGCGGUGAAAUGCGUAGAGAUCUGGAGGAAUACCGGUGGCGAAGGCGGCCCCCUGGAUAAAGACUGACGCUCAGGCGCGAAAGUGUGGGGAGCAAACAGGAUUAGAUACCCUAGUAGUCC
rnacentral:rRNA from 1 species